AAGCGUUGUCCGGAUUUAUUGGGCGUAAAGCGAGCGCAGGCGGUUUUUUAAGUCUGAUGUGAAAGCCUUCGGCUCAACCGAAGAAGUGCAUCGGAAACUGGGAAACUUGAGUGCAGAAGAGGACAGUGGAACUCCAUGUGUAGCGGUGAAAUGCGUAGAUAUAUGGAAGAACACCAGUGGCGAAGGCGGCUGUCUGGUCUGUAACUGACGCUGAGGCUCGAAAGUAUGGGUAGCAAACAGGAUUAGAUACCCUGGUAGUCCAUACCGUAAACGAUGAAUGCUAAGUGUUGGAGGGUUUCCGCCCUUCAGUGCUGCAGCUAACGCAUUAAGCAUUCCGCCUGGGGAGUACGGCCGCAAGGCUGAAACUCAAAGGAAUUGACGGGGGCCCGCACAAGCGGUGGAGCAUGUGGUUUAAUUCGAAGCUACGCGAAGAACCUUACCAGGUCUUGACAUACUAUGCAAAUCUAAGAGAUUAGACGUUCCCUUCGGGGACAUGGAUACAGGUGGUGCAUGGUUGUCGUCAGCUCGUGUCGUGAGAUGUUGGGUUAAGUCCCGCAACGAGCGCAACCCUUAUUAUCAGUUGCCAGCAUUAAGUUGGGCACUCUGGUGAGACUGCCGGUGACAAACCGGAGGAAGGUGGGGAUGACGUCAAAUCAUCAUGCCCCUUAUGACCUGGGCUACACACGUGCUACAAUGGAUGGUACAACGAGUUGCGAACUCGCGAGAGUAAGCUAAUCUCUUAAAGCCAUUCUCAGUUCGGAUUGUAGGCUGCAACUCGCCUACAUGAAGUCGGAAUCGCUAGUAAUCGCGGAUCAGCAUGCCGCGGUGAAUACGUUCCC
rnacentral:rRNA from 2 species